GAUGAACGCUGGCGGCGUGCCUAAUACAUGCAAGUCGAGCGAACGGACGAGAAGCUUGCUUCUCUGAUGUUAGCGGCGGACGGGUGAGUAACACGUGGAUAAUCUACCUAUAAGACUGGGAUAACUUCGGGAAACCGGAGCUAAUACCGGAUAAUAUUUUGCACCGCAUGGUUCAUAAGUGAAAGACGGUCUUGCUGUCACUUAUAGAUGGAUCCGCGCUGCAUUAGCUAGUUGGUAAGGUAACGGCUUACCAAGGCAACGAUGCAUAGCCGACCUGAGAGGGGGAUCGGCCACACUGGAACUGAGACACGGUCCAUGCUCCUACGGUAGGCAGCAGUAGGGAAUCUUCCGCAAUGGGCGAGAGCAUGACGGAGCAGCGCCACGUGAGUGAUGAAGGUCUUCGGAUCGUAAAACUCUGUUAUGAGGGAAGAACAUAUGUGUAAGUAACUGUGCACAGCGUGACGGUACCUAAUCAGAAAGCCACGGCUAACUACGUG
rnacentral:rRNA from 1 species